rnacentral:lncRNA from 1 species
UUCACCAUUAAGACAAAAUAGGGAAGAAGACGUACUUCAUCUGGAACAUCGUGAAGUCACAGAAGAACUUCACAAGUGUUCCGAUCGGAAGGGAGCCCUUUGAGUAAGUGAAAUGAAGCGUGAAUAACUGCCUAAUUAGUGGACAUGAAAACUGGACAGUCUCCAAAGUCAUCAGAGAUGACCACGCUUGCCAGGCAACUUACUAGACUAAGGGCACACAAUGAGCCUCACGUAAGCAUCAGGUACUACAUUUAGGAAGAGAGAUGGUGGUGACGUGCCCAUCAUGCAGGAAGCUUCUCCAAGGCUGGCGAGAGCAACUUGUCUGCUUUGAGAAAUGCAGAUCUAUCAGGAUCCAGAAUCGGACUCUGAAAAAGCUGUCAUUUCAUGUCUCUAAAACAGCCUUUGAUUUAAUGUACAAGAUGUCAAGAAGUAAAGGACAAUAAAAUAAAAACCAAAAAAGGAGAACUAUUUCAAUUAAGAAGCAUUCCUAUAUCAAUUCUUGGAAAUCACAUAAAAUAAAAGCUGUCAGAAUCAAUCUCUGUUUAAAAGGCUGAUUUUUU